rnacentral:rRNA from 1 species
GAGCGGCGGACGGGUGAGUAACACGUGGGCAACCUGCCUGUAAGACUGGGAUAACUUCGGGAAACCGGAGCUAAUACCGGAUAGUAUUUCCUUUCUCCUGAUUGGAAAUGGAAAGACGGUUUCGGCUGUCACUUACAGAUGGGCCCGCGGUGCAUUAGCUAGUUGGUGGGGUAAUGGCCCACCAAGGCGACGAUGCAUAGCCGACCUGAGAGGGUGAUCGGCCACACUGGGACUGAGACACGGCCCAGACUCCUACGGGAGGCAGCAGUAGGGAAUCUUCCGCAAUGGACGAAAGUCUGACGGAGCAACGCCGCGUGAGCGAUGAAGGCCUUCGGGUCGUAAAGCUCUGUUGUUAGGGAAGAACAAGUACGAGAGUAACUGCUCGUACCUUGACGGUACCUAACCAGAAAGCCCCGGCUAACUACGUGCCAGCAGCCGCGGUAAUACGUAGGGGGCAAGCGUUGUCCGGAAUUAUUGGGCGUAAAGGGCUCGUAGGCGGUUUCUUAAGUCUGAUGUGAAAGCCCACAGCUCAACUGUG